rnacentral:rRNA from 1 species
GACGAACGCUGGCGGCGUGCCUAAUACAUGCAAGUAGGACGCAGUUGCGAACGGGUGAGUAACGCGUAGGUAACUGCCUAUUAUAGGGGGAUAACUAUUGGAAACGAUAGCUAAUACCGCAUACUAGUAGAUGGACCUGCGUUGUAUUAGCUAGUAGGUAGGGUAAUGGCCUACCUAGGCGACGAUACAUAGCCGACCUGGGGGGGGGAUCGGCCACACCGGGACGUAGAACCGGCCCAGGCUCCUACGGGAAGCAGCAGUAGGGAAUUUUCGGCAAUGGGGGGAACCCUGACCGAGCAACGCCGGGUGAGUGAAGAAGGUUUUCGGAUCGUAAAGCUCUGUUGUUAAGGAAGCGGUACUUAACCAGAAAGGGACGGCUAACUACGUGCCAGCAGCCGCGGUAAUUC